UACGAAGGGGGCUAGCGUUGCUCGGAAUCACUGGGCGUAAAGCGCACGUAGGCGGCUUUUUAAGUCAGGGGUGAAAUCCUGGAGCUCAACUCCAGAACUGCCUUUGAUACUGAGAAGCUUGAGUCCGGAAGAGGUGAGUGGAACUCCGAGUGUAGAGGUGAAAUUCGUAGAUAUUCGGAAGAACACCAGUGGCGAAGGCGGCGACCUGGGUCGAUACUGACGCUGAGGUGCGAAAGCGUGGGGAGCAAACAGGGAU
rnacentral:rRNA from 1 species